rnacentral:rRNA from 1 species
AGUGGCGAACGGGUGAGUAACAUAUCGGAACGUAUCCAAUAAUGGGGGAUAACUAAUCGAAAGGUUGGCUAAUACCGCAUACGCCCUACGGGGGAAAGCUAGGGACCUUCGGGCCUGGCGUUAAUGGAGCGGCCGAUAUCUGAUUAGCUAGUUGGUGGGGUAAAGGCCCACCAAGGCGACGAUCAGUAGCUGGUCUGAGAGGACGACCAGCCACACUGGAACUGAGACACGGUCCAGACUCCUACGGGAGGCAGCAGUGGGGAAUUUUGGACAAUGGGCGCAAGCCUGAUCCAGCCAUUCCGCGUGAGUGAAGAAGGCCUUCGGGUUGUAAAGCUCUUUCGCAAGGGAAGAAAACUUAUCCUCUAACAUAGGAUGAGGUUGACGGUACCUUGAUAAGAAGCACCGGCUAACUACGUGCCAGCAGCCGCGGUAAUACGUAGGGGGCAAGCGUUAUCCGGAAUCACUGGGCGUAAAGGGUGCGUAGGUGGCCUAUCAAGUCAGGAGUGAAAGGCAGUGGCUUAACCACUGUAAGCUCUUGAAACUGAUGGGCUUGAGUGCAGGAGAGGUAAGUGGAAUUCCUAGUGUAGCGGUGAAAUGCGUAGAUAU